AUGCAUUGGCUGUCUUGGGAGAAACUUGCAUCUCCAAAAAUUCAUGGUGGAAUGGGUUUUCGCGAUCUCGAGCUGUUUAAUCUUGCGCUUUUGGGCAAACAUGGAUGGAGAUUCAUCACAAACCCUAACUCACUAUGUGUGCGGGUAAUGAAGGGCCGUUAUUUCCCUGACUCUGAAUUCAUGGAGGCUACUGUUCCGCAAUCAGCUUCGGCCAUUUGGCGAGCUAUAGUGGCAGGAAGAGGAGCGCUUCAAACAGGGCUGUUUAAGAGGGUCGGUGACGGGAGCUCUAUCUCCAUUUGGAAUGACCAAUGGAUACCCGGCCUUUCCACCCUUGCCCCAACGGUUAUGCCAGGAGGAACCACACUGGGUACUGUUGAUGAGUUGAUCGAUACUGAUAAUUGGACUUGGCGACGGGAGCUAAUCUGA
rnacentral:rRNA from 1 species